AGAAGAAUAAAAGGAAAAAGUUAUUGUCUCGUGAUGCCGCCAAAAAAAAUGACCAGCAGUUGCUGCUGGUCCGAGUCUUUUGGUCCGCCUCGGAUGAGAAGGCGAAUCUUGCCCAUCAUCGAUAUUCUGUUCUGGACUUUUGGCAAGAGGAUGGGCGGACUUCAUUGGAAACUACGGGCCUGGAUGUACAACCUGGCACCCUGGAUUUCAAAGUGGAAAAUCCCAGUUCAAGUUAUACCGUAUUUUUUUUCACCUGGAGGCAAACUAGAGGCAACCUAGGUUCGCUCUAACUGCUGUCAUCGUGCUCAUUUAUUGCUCGAGAGUCAACCUAGGUUCGCUCGAAAAAGGGACGGAGUCGCCCUGAGAAAAAAGUCAGUUUUGCGAGAAGUUCACCAAUACUCUCAACGUUGUUGUCAAAACAUUAAACAGCUGGUUUUUGCUGAAAACAAAACAGUUGAAAUAAUGAACGGGCAAAUGAUUAUUGCCGCGAUUUUGAACCUCUCAGCCAAGCAAAAUCGUACUAUCUGCAGUCCAGUGCAAUCCGGACACGAAAAACGGCAAUCCGGAUGUGAAGAACCGAAUGAUGAAAUCCAGAAGGGAGAACAAAAUGACAGCUGCAUGUAAACAUUGCGCUCGUUCUCACGUACAUCUACGUAUGGAAUAACUCGAAACCCGAAACUCGUUUUUUUAUUCUGACGGUUCCAGCCCGCAUGGAGCAGUAUCAUACAAAAACGAUCCCCAUUAUCUUCUUCCCAAGACACCCAAAAGAUUACCUUAAUAGUUUUUGGAUUAUUCAAGAACGAUUAUACCUAUCGUUUUUUCAUGAAAUGGAAUCGUUUAGACACAAAUAACGAUACAGGGAAUGGGUUCCCGAAUAGAACAGAACCAUGGUAUCACAUUCAUUAUCCAAUGAAAUUAAUUGUGACCAUGUACUUCAUGGUUAAAAGUACAUCCGAGCGGGAAUAAUUUAAGAAAUUCAAACAUUCCAAGUUUUUCGUGUAUGGAUUAUUUGACGUCUGCGGUACUGUUUUUUUUCCUCUACACAUUUGUCGGUCGAGGUUGGUCGGUAGUUUUUCGAGAAAUUCAUUCGAAGUGUUCUGAAGUGGACCCAAUGUAAAAAACCAUCACACACUGCGAGUGAGUGGGUGCCUGGAGCGACUACGGAAAGCCGGAUUGUGAGAGACGGGUCCAGCAAAUUAGUCCAAAUCAAUUAGUGUGAGUAAAGUGUUAAAUUUUUUUUUGAAUAAAUAAAUUUAAACGAAUUGAACCGUUUUAAUUUCGUUAAAACUGAAAAUGAUGACAAAACAAGAAAUAAAUACAAAAACCCCACCAUGGAGCAAAUAUUUUUAUUACAGCGGUUUAACAAUGAAAAUCAUGGAUUUUCAUGGUUUUACCAUGAAAA